GGCCUUGACAUACUAAGAACUUUCAGAGAUGGAUUGGUGCCUUCGGGAACUUAGAUACAGGUGCUGCAUGGCUGUCGUCAGCUCGUGUCGUGAGAUGUUGGGUUAAGUCCCGCAACGAGCGCAACCCUUUUCCUUAUUUGCCAGCGGGUUAAGCCGGGAACUUUAAGGAUACUGCCAGUGACAAACUGGAGGAAGGCGGGGACGACGUCAAGUCAUCAUGGCCCUUACGGCCAGGGCUACACACGUGCUACAAUGGUCGGUACAAAGGGUUGCUACCUCGCGAGAGGAUGCUAAUCUCAAAAAGCCGAUCGUAGUCCGGAUCGCAGUCUGCAACUCGACUGCGUGAAGUCGGAAUCGCUAGUAAUCGCGGAUCAGAAUGCUGCGGUGAAUACGUUCCCGGGCCUUGUACACACCGCCCGUCACACCAUGGGAGUUUGUUGCACCAGAAGUAGGUAGUCUAACCGCAAGGAGGACGCUUACCACGGUGUGGCCGAUGACUGGGGUGGAAGUCGUAACAAGGUAAGCGUAGAUGA
rnacentral:rRNA from 1 species